rnacentral:lncRNA from 1 species
UACGAACAAGUUCAAUGUGCAAAUGGCUUGUGGCUAUGAGGUUACAAAUAAAGUAAUUGUCAAGAGUUUAUUUGGCUGAGUUCAAAGGUUUAACAUGUCCAAGAAACAAGAAAAUGACAUAUCAGUAUGAGUUCAAGAAUGCAACAUCUUCAUGAAUGUGUUUUGAUCACAAAGGCACAAUGAAUAUCAGCAUUUAAAAGUUGACAUAUAAGAUUGGAGGUGGUGUCUUUGAGAAGUGAAAUGAUGUUUGCAUCAGAGGGAGU